rfam:Basidiobolus meristosporus CBS 931.73 K493scaffold_814, whole genome shotgun sequence.
UCUCGGAUAGUAUAGUGGUAAGUAUCCCCGCCUGUCACGCGGGAGACCCGGGUUCAAUUCCCGGUCCGAGAG